GUGUGGGACUUUGUGCAUCUGCUCUACUGCCAAGCUGUACUGCUGUCUAUGGAAAAGUCAUCUCAGUCAGAAGAGCUUUGAAAUCAUCACAUUGAAAGAUUCUGCCAUCAGACUGGACAGCCCAUCACAGAAUCCAUUAUAAAAUGUCCAGGAGGGCGUGGGCAGCCAGUGGCCGAGAGAAGUAACAAUGAAAGUUGACCAGAUAAAGACCAAAGCUGAAGGACGUGUUUACUGGAUUGUUCAAGAUGACAGGACCGGAAACAUCUCAGUACGGACAUGCCCUUCAAGGGAAAUGGGAGUUCCAGGGAGUUGGCCCAGCCCAGG